CCUACGGGUGGCAGCAGUAGGGAAUCUUCCACAAUGGACGAGAGUCUGAUGGAGCAACGCAGCGUGAGUGAAGAAGGGUCUAGGCUCGUAAAGCUCCGUUUGUAGUGAAGUAAGAUAGAGGUAGUAACUGUCCUUUAUUUGACGUUAUUUAUUUAGAGAGUCACGCCUAACUACGUGCCAGCAGCCGCGGUAAUACGUCGGUGGCAAGCGUUGUCCGGAUUUAUUGGGCGUAAAGCGAGUGCAGGCGGUUCGAUAAGUCUGAUGUGAAAGCCUGCGGCUCAACCGGAGAAUUGCAUAAGAAACUGGUGAACUUGAGUGCAGAAGAGGAGAGUGGAACUCCAUGUGUAGCGGUGGAAUGCGUAGAUAUAUGGAAGAACACCAGUGGCGAAGGCGGCUCUCUAGUCUGCAACUGACGCUGAGGCUCGAAAGCAUGGGUAGCGAACAGGAUUAGAUACCCGUGUAGUC
rnacentral:rRNA from 1 species